CGGGGAAUAUUGCACAAUGGAGGGAACUCUGAUGCAGCGACGCCGCGUGAACGAAGAAGGCUUUCGAGUCGUAAAGUUCUUUUAUAUGGGAAGAUAAUGACGGUACCAUAAGAAAAAGCCCCGGCUAACUACGUGCCAGCAGCCGCGGUAAUACGUAGGGGGCUAGCGUUGUCCGGAAUCACUGGGCGUAAAGGGUUCGCAGGCGGAAAUGCAAGUCAGGUGUAAAAGGCAGUAGCUUAACUACUGUAAGCAUUUGAAACUGCAUAUCUUGAGAAGAGUAGAGGUAAGUGGAAUUUUUAGUGUAGCGGUGAAAUGCGUAGAUAUUAAAAAGAAUACCGGUGGCGAAGGCGACUUACUGGGCUCAUUCUGACGCUGAGGAACGAAAGCGUGGGUAGCAAACAGG
rnacentral:rRNA from 3 species